rnacentral:lncRNA from 1 species
CCAAAGGGAAGUUUCACAUGAAGAGCAAUCAAGUCGUUUAGCCCUCAGCCUGAUGACCACCCUACUGACUGCUGCCCGUGAUAUAAUUCUUCCUGGAACUUGAAUGGGAACCUCGUUGUGAAUAAAAAGAGUUAGAGAGAUUAUAUUGCCACCAUGGAAGAGGAGGAGCUGGAAGGAGAUUCUGAAGCCUUGGGACAAAGCUGGUGCUGCGGCAGUCAGAGCAGAGAGACAGAAUGAUGCCACUGAUUGCUGUGCUUUUGGAGACUGUUCUACUUCUGAAUUUCCAAUUCAGUGAAAUAAUGCCUGUCCUCAUUUAUUAGCCUUUUAGAGCUCUGCUGCUGUCCUGUCCAUAAGGUUAUUUGUUGGUAAAAUAUUAAACUACAGGAAACAUAACAGCCUCAGAAAAGCAUGACUCAACAUGAGCCUGGGACAACUCAGGGUCUCUCUACUGUGCACAGCAUUUGUUCUGCUUUCAAGGCUCCCCACAGCAUCUGAAGCUUUACAUCCCUGGAGGCAACUGCCCAUAUGUUUACCUUUAUUACCAACUGCAGUUUCCAGGCAUCUGCUAAAUUACAAUUUUGAGUGCUUAAUGGUGAUUUCAUUUGUGUAAAAAAAAAGCGGGGAGACUCUUUGCCCCUCAUUAACUUAGAAUGGCAUUGCACCACACCGUAGAGCUGGCAUAUAGGUAUAUUGAAAGAAGUGGGUAGAGCUAAGAGGAUUAGAAGCUUAUGUGUGCCGUGAGGAGAAGCUGAGACUCAGGUUAGCAUCUCACUGUAUUUCUGUGAGGAGGAGAUAUUGGUGCAAGAUCUCAAGCAGACAAGCAAAAUCCAUCCCUAUCCAACAACUCCUACCUAUUGAGCAAAUGAUUUAAAAAGUGGUUACUGUGCCAUCAGAAAAACUGUUGGGGAUUGAUGUGUCUCUUUUUGUUGAACUGGCUGAGUAGAUAAGUACACAGAAUAACUUAUACCAUCACUUUAUAUUUACGCUUACCUAAUAUGAUAUUGUUA